UUGUUUUCUCUUAUUUUGGAGUGUAAAUUGACAUUGCGAUAAGACGUGUCACGGUACUGGUCUAUCCCAAAUUCAUGUAUUUGGUUUUGAUGUUAUAUUUGUUAUUCUCGUGAGAUUUUGUCUGAUGCUUGGUCCGUUUCUGUGUGUGUUACACUGUAGUGUUGUGUCGUUGUUCUCCUCUUAUAUUUAAUGCGUUUCCCUCAGUUUUAGUUUGUUACCCCGAUUUUGUUUUUUGUCCAUGGAAUUAUGAGUUUGAACAGCGGUAUACUACUGUUGCCUUUAUU
rnacentral:lncRNA from 1 species